rnacentral:rRNA from 1 species
UACGUAGGGGGCGAGCGUUGUCCGGAGUUACUGGGCGUAAAGCGCACGCAGGCGGUUUCGUACGUCUGGAGUGACAGUUCCCGGCUCAACUGGGAAAGGUCUUCGGAAACGGCGAGACUUGAGGGCUUCAGAGGGACACGGAAUUCCGGGUGGAGUGGUGAAAUGCGUAGAGAUCCGGAGGAACACCAAUGGCGAAGGCAGUGUCCUGGGAAGCAUCUGACGCUCAGGUGCGAAAGCUAGGGGAGCAAACGGG